UAGAACAAUUAUGAGCCUUACACUUAGUGU
rnacentral:piRNA from 1 species